CAGGUCACUCAGCAUAUCCUGAAUCACCUUUAGGACCGGAUGCAUAUCAUGAAUAUGAAUCUUUGCUUGUCCAAGAUUAUGAGGAGCUUGCCAGAAAGUUUCUGAUGAACUCUAGCCAUACCGGAGAAAGCAUAGUAAAGGAAAGUAUGUCCGCUGAAGAUGAAGGAUGGUCACAAUUAACCACCAGCGAAGAGGGGCCUUUUAAUUUCAGUUCUGUUGCAAGUGCACAAAAUUCAUAUGAAGACAGUGUAAUUGACCGGACAGAUGUACGGAAAAAGUUGAAAGUUUCUGUGCAUCAUUUCCCUCUGGUCUUGUGUCCUUUUUCACCUAGAUUCUUUGUCUUGCCUUCAGAAGGAUCAGUUGCCGAAGCGUACCUAUCCGCUGAACAUGAUAACUCUAUAAGCUUUGGGUUACCUUCAAUAAGUACUGGGACAACUGCUGAUGGUGAGGAUGUCCCUCCUGGGGCAACUCUUACCGCUCAAUUUCUUUAUCAUCUGGCGGCAAAGAUGGACCUGAAACUUGAG
rnacentral:misc_RNA from 1 species